rnacentral:rRNA from 1 species
UAGGGAAUCUUCGGCAAUGGACGAAAGUCUGACCGAGCAACGCCGCGUGAGUGAAGAAGGUUCUCGGAUCGUAAAACUCUGUUGGUAGAGAAGAACGUUGGUGAGAGUGGAAAGCUCAUCAAGUGACGGUAACUACCCAGAAAGGGACGGCUAACUACGUGCCAGCAGCCGCGGUAAUACGUAGGUCCCCGAGCGUUGUCCGGAUUUAUUGGGCGUAAAGCGAGCGCAGGUGGUUUAUUAAGUCUGGUGUAAAAGGCAGUGGCUCAACCAUUGUAUGCAUUGGAAACUGGUAGACUUGAGUGCAGGAGAGGAGAGUGGAAUUCCAUGUGUAGCGGUGAAAUGCGUAGAUAUAUGGAGGAACACCGGUGGCGAAAGCGGCUCUCUGGCCUGUAACUGACACUGAGGCUCGAAAGCGUGAGGAGCAAACAGGAUUAGAUACCCUGGUAGUCCACGCCGUAAACGAUGAGUGCUAGAUGUAGGGAGCUAUAAGUUCUCUGUAUCGCAGCUAACGCAAUAAGCACUCCGCCUGGGGAGUACGACCGCAAGGUUGAAAC